rnacentral:rRNA from 1 species
AUUGAACGCUGGCGGCAGGCCUAACACAUGCAAGUCGAGCGGAUGACGGGAGCUUGCUCCUUGAUUCAGCGGCGGACGGGUGAGUAAUGCCUAGGAAUCUGCCUGGUAGUGGGGGACAACGUUUCGAAAGGAACGCUAAUACCGCAUACGUCCUACGGGAGAAAGCAGGGGACCUUCGGGCCUUGCGCUAUCAGAUGAGCCUAGGUCGGAUUAGCUAGUAGGUGAGGUAAUGGCUCACCAAGGCGACGAUCCGUAACUGGUCUGCGAGGAUGAUCAGCCACACGGGAGCUGGGAGACGGUCCAGGCUCCUACGGGAGGCAGCAGUGGGAAAUAUUGGACAAUGGGCGAAAGCCUGAUCCAGCCAUGCCGCGUGUGUGAAGAAGGUCUUCGGAUUGUAAAGCACUUUAAGUUGGGAGGAAGGGCAGUAAGCUAAUACCUUGCUGUUUUGACGUUACCGACAGAAUAAGCACCGGCUAACUCUGUGCCAGCCGCCGCCGUAAAAC